UACGUAGGGGGCUAGCGUUGUCCGGAAUUACUGGGCGUAAAGAGCUCGUAGGCGGUUUGUCGCGUUGUCCGUGAAAACUCACAACUCAAUUGUGGGCGUGCGGGCGAUACGGGCAGACUGGAGUACUGCAGGGGAGACUGGAAUUCCUGGUGUAGCGGCGGAAUGCGCAGAUAUCAGGAGGAACACCGGUGGCGAAGGCGGGUCGCUGGGCAGUAACUGACGCUGAGGAGCGAAAGCGUGGGGAGCGAACAGG
rnacentral:rRNA from 1 species